rnacentral:rRNA from 1 species
GAUGAACGCUAGCGGCAGGCUUAAUACAUGCAAGUCGUGGGGCAGCAGGACUGUAGCAAUACAGUUGCUGGCGACCGGCAAACGGGUGCGGAACACGUACGCAACUUACCCUGAACUGGGGGAUAGCCCGGGGAAACCCGGAUUAAUACCCCGUAAUAUAAUGGAGUGGCAUCACUUUAUUAUUAAAGCUCCGGCGGUUCGGGAUGGGCGUGCGGCUGAUUAGGUAGUUGGUUGAGGUAACGGCUCACCAAGCCUACGAUCAGUAACUGGUGUGAGAGCACGACAGGCAACAGGGGAGCGGGGCCGGGGCCCCGCCUCCUACGGGAGGAAGCAGUAAGGAAUAUUGGGCAAGGGAGUCAACUCUGCCCCCCCCAUGCCGGGGGGAGGAUGAGGCCCUUUUGGGUUGUAAUCUUUUUUUAGGGGGGACGAACCUUGUGUUGUCUUACGCGGUUGACGGUACCUAAGAAAAAACCCCCGGCUACCCCCGUG